GAGGCACAAUGGGGGGAACGAGAUAGAAGCGGCGAUGAUGCGACAUGAAGCUUAUUGACGGAUUUGAUCGUCUGUCAUUUUGGCGCGUUUGGAUCGAUCAUGGUGACGGCGAAUCGCAGAUUAUCAAUGCAUAUGUAUAACCUUGAUCCUAACCCUAAACUCCAUCUACUUUCUUCGAUGCUCGGUUUACCAAUUUUAAAUGGUGAUGUCGGGCAUUUUCCAGUAGUCCUUUGGAAGAUGUAUUUGAGUAUAGUAUUUACAGAUGUGGAGCUCAUCUGAAG